AUAAACUUGAACAUAAGGACAUUACUUUUAUUUUAAAUUUUCUUUCCACGCAUAACAUUCCAGGGUCCUUCCCAGCCUUUGGGCAAAAUCUACCAGAGAAGAGAGGAAAUUCUUUACACCUAACAUGCAUUUAGAAAAGAAAAAACAAAGAAAAAAAGAAAAAGAAGAACUGAUUUCUGUGCAAAACUAAGCCCUCACCUGAGCCUGAAUUUGUACCACUAAGAGAGCACAUUCAUUCUGUCCACCAAACAAGUACAGGUAGAAAUUCCUCUCACCUGGGAGGCUGGUGACUUGUUUUUUCAGAAACGACAUAGACAGCAUCAAAAGAUCUACCUCAGGAACUUUGGAAGCUGUAAAACACCAAACCUGCACACUUCUAAAUGUAACUAAAAAGUAACUGGGCAAAUGUUCAGUGCCACCCACUUUUCUCCUAGUCUUGGACAAAGCUCUAAAGCUGAAAUUUGGAUGCAAGCCUCACUCCUGUAUUUCAACAUCCUGGCACCUGUAAGAAACCAGAUAUUGCAUCCACAUUAAGGUUGACUAUGAUUCAUGUUGUUCAUAAGAGUAAGUACAUAAUUUGAACUUUUUAAUUACAGAAUACAUUUGGAAGUAGAUUGUUUCUUUAAAAAGAUACCUAAUAUAUCCAAUAACAAAAUUGUCAGAUUUUCAUAUUUCUUUCUCUCUCUCACACACACACACACACAUUCUCACACACACACACACACACACACACAGAGAGAGAGAGAGAGAGAGAGAAUUCAUUUUUAAAAAUGUAGCCAGCAAGUUCAUUUUUAGAAUACAUAACAAAAAACUGCAUUGGUUAUUUUUUUAAUUUGGAGAAGUUAAUAUUCUUGCCAGCCCAUCAGCAUUUUUUACUAAGAAACUUUUAGCAAAGGCUUACACACCAUUAAUCAAAAGACAAGGAGCAAAAGCUUUGGAGAUUAAAAUAAAUUAAAAAGGCCCAAAUUUACGUUCA
rnacentral:lncRNA from 1 species